rnacentral:misc_RNA from 1 species
CCAAUAGCGUAUAUUAAAGUUGUUGCAGUUAAAAAGCUCGUAGUUGAAUUUCGGAAUUUUUUUAUCGGUUGAAUCAACAGAUUCGUACUGAUUUUAAGAAUUUCUACCUUCUGGAGAACCUUAAUGUCAUUUAUUUGGUGUUUUGGGGAACCAGGACUGUUACCUUGAAAAAAUUAGAGUGUUUAAAGCAGGCUUAUGUCUGAAUAUAUUAGCAUGGAAUAAUGAAAUAGGACGGCAUGGUUCUAUUUUGUUGGUUUCUAGGAUCACCGUAAUGAUUAAUAGGGAUAGUUGGGGGCAUUAGUAUUCAAUUGUCAGAGGUGAAAUUCUUGGAUUUAUUGAAGACUAACUUCUGCGAAAGCAUUUGCCAAGGAUGUUUUCAUUAAUCAAGAACGAAAGUUAGGGGAUCGAAGACGAUCAGAUACCGUCGUAGUCUUAACCAUAAACUAUGCCGACUAGGAAUCGGACGAAGUUAAUUUUUUAAUGACUCGUUCGGCGCCUUACG